ensembl:lncRNA LINC00393 long intergenic non-protein coding RNA 393
AUCCCUGUUAAAGGCAUCCCAUUUUUAUUUCUUUUGUAAAGAGUGGAAACUUUUGGCAGGAGAAUUAUCAACCACGUGACUCCUUUAGGUGUAAUAUUUGCUUAAGAUGUGAUAUACACCAAUGAAUGGUUUGGAGGUCAACUGCAGUGAGGUCUCUAUACCACAGAGUGGUGAGUCCCCAAGUCCCGGUGAACUUAGGAAAUGGGCAUUAUCCUCUGGAAGACGUUUAUAGAGGUGACUUUUUUGGUAAGUCCCUGGGACUCCUGUUGACAUGGGAAUUACUUUCUUCCCUCAGUUGUUGGCGUCUCACAUGGCCAUUCAUCAGCUCAAUACAAACAAGUCUUCACGGAGGUGGAGUUUCCUCCUCACCUGUUGCUAAACCAGGCAGCGUGGAUUGGCAUAUUCACUGACUUCAUGGCACGAAGGCCUACAAAAGCGGAACAACUUUUCACCAGUGCAAAAAUGUUCCAAAAGAUACUCUCUCUGUCCAAUACACUUGUAAGUGCAUUCUAGAAUAUAAAAAAUAGAGAGAGAUAAAUGUUCUGUUGAAAGAUAAUCUCCCAAAAUAUAAGUUUUUAUGUAAGACAGUGCUCUCAAGUCAUAAAUGGUAAAUUCUUCUGAAAGUCACAGAGGAAAUUACUCUUAAGACCUCUGUCUUGUUAAGUUAUCAUAGUAAUAAAAUCUCAACCUACUAAGGUAACUUUCUAAACAUGUCAGAGCUUGAAAGUCUCUUGUAAACCUCUAAAUACAAAGAAAACCUAAGUUUAUUUAUUGAAGUUCAAGCUGUAGAAAUCUGACAGCUUUGAGGACUUUAAAAGAUACUGAAUCAACUGCUAUAAAAGGAAAACAGUCUUGACAAUUUUAAUUCAUAUAGUAUUACAACUGAAGAAACUAUUUGAUGAUUUAUGAAGGGCACAUUUGCCGGCUGUGUUUUGGAGUUUUUGCAUGAAAAGUGAAUUUGUACUCAGACUGUUUGCAUCUUCAAAGACCCAUGAGCUUGGCUGUAGGGGCAUGCAACAUUAGGUUUGGAAAUAUAUGAAAUAAAUAUUGCUAUGCCUUAAGAAUGUGA